AUUGAACGCUGGCGGCAGGCCUAACACAUGCAAGUCGAGCGGAUGAAGGGAGCUUGCUCCUGGAUUCAGCGGCGGACGGGUGAGUAAUGCCUAGGAAUCUGCCUGGUAGUGGCGGAUAACGUCCGGAAACGGGCGCUAAUACCGCAUACGUCCUGAGGGAGAAAGUGGGGGAUCUUCGGACCUCACGCUAUCAGAUGAGCCUAGGUCGGAUUAGCUAGUUGGUGGGGUAAAGGCCUACCAAGGCGACGAUCCGUAACUGGUCUGAGAGGAUGAUCAGUCACACUGGAACUGAGACACGGUCCAGACUCCUACGGGAGGCAGCAGUGGGGAAUAUUGGACAAUGGGCGAAAGCCUGAUCCAGCCAUGCCGCGUGUGUGAAGAAGGUCUUCGGAUUGUAAAGCACUUUAAGUUGGGAGGAAGGGCAGUAAGUUAAUACCUUGCUGUUUUGACGUUACCAACAGAAUAAGCACCGGCUAACUUCGUG
rnacentral:rRNA from 1 species